UACGUAGGGUGCAAGCGUUAAUCGGAAUUACUGGGCGUAAAGCGUGCGCAGGCGGUUUUGUAAGUCUGUCGUGAAAUCCCCCGGGCUCAACCUGGGAAUUGCGAUGGAGACUGCAAGGCUAGAAUCUGGCAGAGGGGGGGUAGAAUUCCACGUGUAGCAGUGAAAUGCGUAGAGAUGUGGAGGAACACCGAUGGCGAAGGCAGCCCCCCUGGGUCAAGAUUGACGCUCAUGCACGAAAGGCGUGGGGGAGCAAACAGG
rnacentral:rRNA from 1 species